rnacentral:rRNA from 1 species
GACGAACGCUGGCGGCGUGCCUAAUACAUGCAAGUCGAGCGAAGGUUUUCUGGUGCUUGUACUAGAAAAAUUUAGCGGCGAACGGGUGAGACACAUGUAAAGAAUCUGUCUCAUAGACUGGGACAAUUAUGGGAAACGAUAGCUAAUACCGGAUUACAGUAUUUCUCGCAUUUGAGAUGUUUAAGACUUGGUUAUGCUAACUCUUUGAGAUGGCUUUGCGGUGCAUUAGCUAGUUGGUGGGGUAAAGGCCCACCAAGGCGACGAUGCAUAGCCGACCUGAGAGGGUGAUCGGCCACACUGGGACUGAGACACGGCCCAGACUCCUACGGGAGGCAGCAGUAGGGAAUCUUCCGCAAUGGGCGAAAGCCUGACGGAGCAACGCCGCGUGAGUGAAGAAGGAUUUCGGUUCGUAAAGCUCUGUUGUUAGGGAAGAAUGGAUGUGUAGUAAAUAGACAAGUAAGAGACGGUACCUAACCAGAAAGCCACGGCUAACUACGUG